ACACUCCUACGGGAGGCAACAGUGGGGAAUAUUGGACAAUGGGCGCAAGCCUGAUCCAGCCAUGCCGCGUGAGUGAUGAAGGCCCUAGGGUUGUAAAGCUCUUUCACCGGUGAAGAUAAUGACGGUAACCGGAGAAGAAGCCCCGGCUAACUUCGUGCCAGCAGCCGCGGUAAUACGAAGGGGGCUAGCGUUGUUCGGAUUUACUGGGCGUAAAGCGCACGUAGGCGGACUAUUAAGUCAGGGGUGAAAUCCCGGGGCUCAACCCCGGAACUGCCUUUGAUACUGGUAGUCUUGAGUUCGAGAGAGGUGAGUGGAAUUCCGAGUGUAGAGGUGAAAUUCGUAGAUAUUCGGAGGAACACCAGUGGCGAAGGCGGCUCACUGGCUCGAUACUGACGCUGAGGUGCGAAAGCGUGGGGAGCAAACAGGAUUAGAAACCCUGGUAGUCC
rnacentral:rRNA from 1 species